rnacentral:misc_RNA from 1 species
AAAAUGCGAUAAGUAAUGUGAAUUGCAGAAUUCAGUGAAUCAUCGAAUCUUUGAACGCACAUUGCGCCCGCCAGUGUUCUGGCGGGCAUGCCUGUUCGAGCGUCAUUUCAACCCUCAAGCCCCCGGGUUUGGUGUUGGGGAUCGGGCUGCGGUUCUACCGCGUCCCGGCCCCGAAAUCUAGUGGCGGUCUCGCUGCAGCCUCCAUUGCGUAGUAGCUAACACCUCGCAACUGGAACGCGGCGCGGCCAAGCCGUUAAACCCCCAACUUCUGAAUGUUGACCUCGGAUCAGGUAGGAAUACCCGCUGAACUUAAGC